rnacentral:rRNA from 1 species
UAGUCCUAGCUGUAAACGAUGGGCACUAGGUUGCGGGUGUUUCGAUGGCACUCGUUUCCGUAACUAAUGCGUUAAGUGCCCCGCCUGGGGAGUACGGUCGCAAGGCUAAAACUCAAAGGAAUUGACGGGGGCUCACACAAGCGGUGGAGCAUGUUGCUUAAUUCGAAGCAACGCGAAGAACCUUACCCAGGUUCGAAAUGCUAGGAUUAGCUUGCUGAAAGGCAAGUGACGCCCUCGUGGUGGAACUAGUAUAGGUGUUGCAUGGCUGUCGUCAGCUCGUGUCGUGAGAUGUCGCGUUAAGUCGCUGAACGAGCGAAACCCUUGUCCUUAGUUGCCAGCACUUCGGGUGGGGACUCUAGGGAGACUGCCGUUGUUAAAACGGGAGGAAGGUGGGGAUGACGCCAAAUCAUCACGGGCCCUUACGUCCUGGGGCUACACACGUGCUACAAUGGUAUAGACAGAGAGCAGCCACUACGCGAGUAGGGAGCGAAUCUAUAAACU